rnacentral:lncRNA from 1 species
CUCUUCUCUUGAAUUGGAGUGAAUGUUUUGAACAACAAAUUAUGGUAGAAAUAAUGCUUUGUGACUUCGGAGGUGAGGUCACAAAAGACCACGAAGCUUCCUGCUGUUUCUUCCAGCUUCCAUUCUCUCUCUGGAAUUUCCCUCUUGGAUGCUUCCUUUUGGAGCUCAGUCACCAUGCCUUGAGAAACCCAAGCAGGAAAAGGUUGUGUGUAGGUGCUCUAGUUGACACUGUGAGCUGAGGAAAGCCCCAGCUCUGCUGUUAAGCUCUUUUAAUUGGUUGAAUCUGGGUGGCCAGAUCAUCUAAAAUAAUCUUCCUUGUGUAUAGUCAACUGGUUAUCGACUUUAAUCACCUCUACAAAAUACCUUCACAGUGAGACCUAGAAUGGUGUUUAAUUGAAUAACUGAAGACUGUGGCCAAACUGAAUUCAUCCAUAAAACUGACCAUCACAGCACCUAACUCAGAACAGAAGAGGAGAAAGGCAUCAAGAACCUUCUUAGAAGAAUUUGUUCCUAAGAUGAUUCUUAAAGUAUGAGUAGGAUUCAGUCAGGUUCAGAGUGGAGUACAGGUGUUCCAGCUGGCAAAGGAAGGUACAUGCUUUUGAGGUUACUAGAUUGUAAACUCCAGGAGAGAAGCAAUGGCCUGUGGCCCUUUCCUUCAUGUCUGCUUAAUCAACACUGUUAGAGACCAUGAAAUGGUGGUAUUUUCAUGGGAAAAAAAUUAAUAGAGUUUAAAAGAACCAUCAUUCAUCCAAGAGGCUUUAGAGAAUAGAUGGCUUAGAGCUGGGCUUGAAGAAAAUAAAAGAACUUAGAAAAACAGAGAAGCUUGAGUGGCAUUACAGAGAGCGCACCCAGCGAUGACUCUGCUGGCUAUGGCUCCAUAUCCAGCCCUGGCAUAAAACCGGCUGCCCCUUCCCUCCUAGCCCCUCU